AACGAACGCUGGCGGCAUGCCUAACACAUGCAAGUCGAACGAGACCUUCGGGUCUAGUGGCGCACUGGUGCGUAACGCGUGGGAACCUGCCCUUAGGUUCGGAAUAACUCCCCGAAAGGGGUGCUAAUACCGGAUCAUGUCUUCGGUCCAAAGAUUUAUCGCCUUUGGAUGGGCCCGCGUUGGAUUAGCUAGUUGUUAGGGUAAAAGCCUACCAAGGCUACGAUCCAUAGCUGGUCUGAGAGGAUGAUCAGCCACACUGGUACUGAGACACGGCCCAGACUCCUACGGGAGGGAGCAGUGGGGAAUAUUGGAAAAUGGGCGAAAGCCUGAUCCAGCAAUGCCGCGUGAGUGAUGUAGGCCGUAGGGUUGUAAAGCAAUUUUACCCGGGAUGAUAAUGACAGUACCGGGAGAAUAAGCUCCGGCUAACUCCGUG
rnacentral:rRNA from 1 species